rnacentral:lncRNA from 1 species
UCUCUUUAUAUAUAUAUAUAUAUAUAUAUAUAUAGAGAGAGAGAGAGAGAGAGAGAGUUGAGCUAGAAUAUUCUCAAAAGCACGAAGGGGUGGUGCUUUUGAGUUUUUAACCAUUAGAUUGAGAGAUGUAGGAUUGAGAUGAUGGUGGUAGGUGAUUGUAGGUGAUGGUAGAUAGAAUAGUGUUUGACCCAAGAGGUAUUAGUAAUGAAGGAAUAGAUUCAAGGAUUAUAAACUUAGAAGCACCAAGGGGUUGUGCUUCUAAAGAUAUUCUAGCUUAAUUUUAUAUAUAUAUAUAUAGCCCGGCUACUAUACUAUUAUAAAUACAUACAAUCAUCGCUUUCGUACUCAUAAGUUAUUUUCGAUGAUAGAGCUUCCGAAUCGACGAUCCAUACUGUUAAACAUUAUCUAGAGCAUUUAAAACUUCUAAAAAUCAAAUUUUAUAAUUUUUCGAUAUCAUUUACCUUACGAUCAAAAGCUGACAAAAUUGAAAAUUUUUAACGACCGGUAUGGGAUACUUGCUAGUUUAAUGGUGUAAAAGAAUAGAAAUAGGUUGAAUUUUUGAUAGAAAAUUCUAUUCACUACCUAAAUAAAGGUGAAUAACUCCGAUCUUAAAUUGAAGGGCCCGAUCAUCCAUUUUUAGGAUGUCGUUCGAUUUUGACCAUUCAUUUUAUACACGCUUGAUAGACUUUAUGAUAAUUUAGAAAAAUUACGAAAUAUAUUUUCUAAAAGUUUCAAAUACUCUAAAUCAUAUUUAACGGUGUGAAUCGUCCAUUCGAAAGCCCUAACAUAAAAAAUAACUUAUGAGUACGAAAGGCUCUAUACUUAUAAGAGUAUAGUAACCCUACUUUAUAUAUAUAUAUAUAUAUAUAUAGAGAGAGAGAGAGAGAGAGAGAGAGAGAGAGUUGAGCUAGAAUACUCUCAAAAACACCAUGAAGAUGGAGCUUUUGAGUUUUUAAACAUUGGAUGAAGAGAUAUGAGGUUGAGAUGAUGGUGGUAGGUGGUGGUAGUUGAAAUAGUGUUUGAUCCAAAGGCUAUUAGUAAUCAAGGAGUAGAUCCAAGAGCUAGAAACUUAGAAGCACGAAGGGGUCAAUGUGAGGUUCGUCUCACUAGUUUUAGCCGACCUUAUGAUAGCCGCACUCCACCUAGCUACAAUGGGUCAUCAUCUGGAAAGAUGCGCUCUACCCGCUGUAUAAUUCUGGCUCACCUACAACAGGUCAUCAUCCGGAAAGCUGCGCUCUACUCGCUAUAUAAUUCUGACUCAGUCGAGACUCAUCUCAUACUUUGUACUGGUGAUUAGCUUUGAAAUCAAUUGUAAUACCCAACUAUUCUAAUCCUAUGCCCUUUUGAAAGUAAAAAAAAAAAAUUAAAAAUUAAAAAAAAGAAGCAUUUGGACAUGAAGGGUGAUUUUUAUGAGAAGUUAUUGAACUCUUUUUUGCACUUAUAAUUCAAACAUAAGCUAUUAUUAGAUUUGCUCUGUCUCUCGUAUUUAUCUUACUAUUAUGAAAAAGAAAUUUAUGCUGAAUCACAUCUGUGCACUUUUAGAUGCUUAUUAUUUUUACUUUUGUUAAAUGAGAAAGGAAGGAAAUAAAAGUAAAAAUAUCGUCUCAUUCUUUUUUUCUUCUUUUUUUUUUAAGAGAGAGAUAGAUAGUAUACUACCCGCUUCGUUUAUUUCUUUUAGAAAUAAACUUAGCUAAAAAUGCCAAUCAACUAGAAUUCGAAUUUGGAAACUUGGAUACCAACUAUCAAAUCUUUUGCCACUUGCGUCAGGACCUGACAGUCUCAUUCUUGUUUCCAGUGAUGAACUAAACAAAUAUUAAACAUGAGGAAAUUAAGACGGGAUCUGAUCAAGCCGAGUUUUUUAAUGAGUUUUUUAUUACGUUUAAUUUGUUAACUUCAGAUCCAGAGUCAAGUUUUUUUUUUUUAAAAAAAAAACUCCAAUUACAAACUAGAACCAAUAUAGUAAACCACAUUAGGAUGUUUUUUUUUUUUUUUUUUUUUUUGAAAGCCUUGACCCCAAGGGAUGUCAGAUCCGUCACAAAUACGGAAANAGAGAGAGAGAGAGAGAGAGAGAGAGAGAGAGAGAGAGAGAGAGAGAGAGUGUUGAGCUAGAAUAUUCUUAAAAGCACCAUGAAGAUGGUGCUUUUGAGUUUUUAGACAUUGGAUGAAGAGAUAUGAGGUUGAGAUGAUGGUGGUAGGUGGUGGUAGGUGAAAUAGUGUUUGACCCAAAAGCUAUUAGUAAUCAAGGGGUAGAUCCAAGGGUUAGAAACUUAGAAGCACCAAGGGGUCAAUGUGAGGUUCGUCUCACUAGUUUUAGCCG